AGUUGCCAGCAUUCAGUUGGCACUCUAAGGUGACUGCCGGCUAAAAGUCGGAGGAAGGUGGGGAUGACGUCAAAUCAUCAUGCCCCUUAUGACCUGGGCUACACACGUGCUACAAUGGGCGGUACAAAGGGUCGCGAACCCGCGAGGGGGAGCCAAUCCCAAAAAGCGCUCUCAGUUCGGAUUGCAGGCUGCAACUCGCCUGCAUGAAGCCGGAAUCGCUAGUAAUCGCGGAUCAGCAUGCCGCGGUGAAUACCGGUUCCCGGGCCUU
rnacentral:rRNA from 1 species